GUCAGAUUGGCCGAGCGGUCUAAGGCGCCAGGUUUAAGUUCUGGUUCUCUCUGAGAGCGUGGGUUCGAACCCCACAUCUGACA
rnacentral:tRNA from 1 species